rnacentral:lncRNA from 1 species
UUAAAAUAUUUUUUUAAGUUUUUAAUAAUUUUUUUAAUAAAAAGUGGACUCUACCUCAUGCCACGUCAGCAUUUAACAAAUGAACUAAUAGUCAACUGAUGGAAGGUAUGACAUUGCAAUAAAUUUGAAGAUACGGUAUGACAUUGAAACUUUUUAAAGACGAGGUAUGAAACUGUUAAUGACCCAAUAAUUGAGGUAGUUCUGUGUAAUUUACCCUAAAACUAAUAAUUCUCACCCUUCACAAACUUCUGUUUGUACUUAAUUGUCUUUUGGCUUCUAUAUAUGUUCUACUAGGCUUUUUUUUCUUCUUUUGAGUCCAUCAAUAGUUUUACAUUAGGGGGGGAGUUCGGCUAAACUAUACAAUGGCCAGCCUAAUUUGACAUCGAAUUAGCCAUCAACGAGAUUCUAACCUAAGAAUUCUCUUUGUACUAGCCUUUUUAAUUAGGGUAAAUUACACAAAACUACCUUAAUUAUGGGUCGAACCACAAUCUCAUACCUCAUAUUUUAAACAUUGUAAUGUCAUACCUUAACUUAUAAAUUUGUUCCACUGUCUUACCUUUGUUAAGCUUUCUGUCAAUUUGGCAGUUAAAUGAUGACGUGGUAGUAGCAGGGCCCACUUCUUCGCCACAUCAUCAUGUAAUAGCCAAAUUAUUAAUUUUUUAUUAAAAUUAAAAAUUACCACAGUGAUGGAAAGGAGUUGAGCCAUUGCAUGACGGUGUGGGUUCAAAUCCCGUCCGUAGCUAAUCUUCCAUCUAAUAUAACAAAAUCUAUUGUUUGACAAAAAAAAAUUAAUAAAAAAAUUAAUAAUUAAUUUUUAUUGCAAUUGGCGAAAGAGUGAACCUCGUUCCUGCCACAUCAUCAUUUAACAGUCAAAUUGAUAGAAAACUUAAUGGAGGUAUGACAUUGAAACGAAUUCAUAAAAACUUAACGGAGGUAUGACAUUGAAACGAAUUCAUAAAUUGAGGUAUUAAUUGCAAUGUUUAAAAUAUGAUGUAUGAGAUUGUGGUUCGACCUAUAGUUAAGGUAAUUUUUUGUAAUUUACUCUUUUAAUUAAUGGAAAGUUAUUUAGUUUGACCAAAAAAAAAAAAAACCUAAAUGGAUUGGAAAGUGUAAGGGCUAUGGGGUAAUACAAUCAUCCUAAAUGAAUAGUAAUUGCCAAUCAAUUUUAUUAAAAUAUUAUUAUUUUUAUAAAAUAAUUUUAUUUUUAAUUUCGGAAUAUAAUAAAAGAUCGGUUGCAAGUAUUUGAAAUGUGGUGGAAGGUGGAAGAAGAUGCUUAUGUAUUUAUAGAAAAGAAUUAUAAUUUUUUCUAUUCUUAAUUAGUUUUUUUUUAUUUUUUAAAUUUUUUUAGGGAAUUGUUAUUAGCGCUCGCAAAUCUCAUUCUACACUCCUCAUAAGUUUAUUUUUCUUUCUAAUUAUAGAAAGUUUGGAGUGCUAAAUAAGAUUUUUGGAGUGUUAAUAGCAAUUCCAUUUUUAUAAUUUUUUGUAUUUUCAAUUAAUUUUUUAUUACUUUUUAAUAACUUGAUGUCACGUCACUACCCUUGGGGGUUGGGCCAAUUAAUUAUUCAUUGGGUGAGCAACUGGGCUCCCUGGGAGGCCAGUGGUUUUUUUUG